rnacentral:misc_RNA from 1 species
GCCCCCAAUCUCGUCUCAAGCAAUCCAGCCAUGUCUGCCUAUGUUGGAAAGUACGCUGAGGAGCUUAUCAAAACUGCUGCCUACAUUGGCACUCCAGGCAAGGGAAUUCUUGCCGCAGAUGAGUCAACUGGCACCAUCGGCAAGCGCCUCUCUAGCAUCAAUGUCGAGAAUGUAGAGGAAAACCGCCGUGCCUUCCGGGAGCUCCUCUUCUGUGCCCCAGGUGCCCUCCAGUACCUCAGUGGUGUCAUCCUCUUCGAGGAGACCCUCUAUCAGAAGACCAAGGACGGGAAGCCAUUUGUUGAUGUCCUCAAGGAAGGUGGUGUCAUCCCUGGCAUCAAGGUUGACAAGGGCACCAUCGAACUUGCUGGCACCAACGGCGAGACAACCACCCAAGGCCAUGAUGACCUUGGCAAGCGAUGUGCCAAGUACUAUGAGGCUGGUGCUCGCUUUGCCAAGUGGCGUGCUGUUCUCAAGAUCAGUGCAACCGAGCCUUCCCAGCUCUCAAUUGAUGCCAAUGCGUAUGGGUUGGCACGGUAUGCCAUCAUCUGCCAGGAGAAU